CUGAUAUUUUUCCCUCUGCUGAUUAUGUGGUAAUCAGGACUGGGUAAACAAAGUCUAUAGUAAGAUCACAUGUAUGACCCCAGACCUGUUCUAUCCCUAGGCCUGGUUUUCUGAAUGGUGGUGAAAAAC